AGGGGGUUUUAAAAUUAAAUGAAAUAUGGAGCCUGUCUGAGUCAACAUAUAAUUGCAUAAUGCAGUCUCUGAUGGCAGCUCUCACAGGGUCCUCUGGGAACAUCCAUGUCUGUUCAUCCUGCAAUAUAUUAUUGGGUGUCUGCUGCAGGCUGGGCCAGGGAUGUGGAGAUGAGAGAGACACAUGAUCCACCUACAAGGACCUCACUUUCUAGUGCAGGGGACAAUCUGUAAAUGUAAUUCAGUGCAGUGAGGUCUAAGAAAGAGACAAGAGGUAACAGAACUGUUUGGAAGAAGGCACUGUUGAAAGGCCUUGCCUAAAAUCUGUUUGUUUGUUUGUUUGUUAUUUGGAGAUGGAGUUUUCGCUCUUGUUGUCCAGGCUGGAGUGCAAUGGCACGAUCUUGGCUCACUACCACCUCUGCCUAUUGGAUUCAAGCCAUUCUCCUGCCUCAGCCUCCUGAGUAGCUGGGAUUACAGGCACCAGCCGUCGCGCCUGGCCAAUCUGUUUCGCUUUAAGCAAAGGAAGUAGACCUCUUUCUAUUUUAUAGGAAAAUCAUUUAUGGAAGUCUAUGUAAGUAUUUUAGCUAAAAUAUUCUCUUUCACUUAAUCUGAACCCUGAGAUGAUACAUUCUCAUUGUGGAAGAAGCCUCAGUGUCCCAGCAUUCAAUAAAGAUCACCCAGCUUCCCAUAGUGGAAGUCAGAAGCCACCAUGUAGAGGUCAGUCUAGCUUAGAUGCAAGCCACGUUGUUAUUUAUUUCCUGCUAUGGAUUCUCAUGGUGUCUUGUGACAGAAAUAUUUGGGGCACUUAAGUAUCCCCGAGUUUUCUUUUGAAAUAAGGUCAACCACUGUCUGCCCUUGGUAUGUUUGGUUGUUUUAAAUAAGGCUCUGUCUCAAUAGCACCACCUCUAGGCCCAGCCAGGGCAAUUAGAUAAAAGCCUCUGGGGCCUUGGAAUGCAUUUCCAAACAGGAUUGGAAUGUGGGUGAGAUCUGAUAGCUCCUCACAGCCUCCUGAUACCAGAAGAUGUUCUGUCCCAGCAACAUAGGCUGACUCCAGGAUGAGAGGACAGCAGGCUCAAUGAAGAUGCCCGUCUUCCUCCCCUCCUCUGUCUACCUUAUAAAGAGGUUGACAAGUGAGCACUGACAGUGGCAGCAAACCACCCACAUCGUGUAGUUCUGCCCAUUGCACAUUUUCAUGAGGAGUCUGUGAAGGCUGCAGCUCCCAGGCCUCCCCACUUGCAUGCAGUGUCCAGAACUGUUCAUUGCUGCUCAGUGUAGCAGCUAAGAACUUGAGCUCUGGAUUUUGACUGAUCUGGCUUUGAAAUCCAGCUCUGCUGCUAACUAGCUGUGGGGCCUUGUACAAGUUACUUUAUUUUCCUGACUCGGUCUGUAAAAUGGGUAUGAUAAUAGUACCUAUAUAUCAGGAUCCCAAUAAGAAAUAGGAACGAAUUAUAAAUGUGUAGAAGUGCUUUAGAAAACCACAAAAGAUAGUAACGUAUGCAGGUUUAUGGCAGCAGAUCUGUGACUUUCCUUAAGUCAAUAUCUAAGAGGGGAGAUAGAAAUUACAGGAACCCAGAGAAGAGAAGAGGUAUUUAGAAAAGGCUUCUUUGAGGCCAGGUGCAGUGGCUUAUGCCUGUAAUCCCAGCACUUUGGAGACCAAGAUGGGCAGAUUAUGAGGUUAGGAGUUCGAGACCAGCCUGGCCAAUAUGGUGAAACCCUAUCUCUACUAAAAAUAAAAAAAAUUAGUUGGGCAUCGUGGUGGGUGCCUGUAUUUGGGAGGCUGAGGCAGGAGAAUUGCUUGAACCUGGGAGGUGGAGGUUGCAGUGAGCCAAGAUCGCUUCAGCCUGGCAGCAGAGUGAGACUCUGUCUCAAAAAAAAAAAGAGAAAAGAAAAGAAAAGAUGUCUUUGAGAAAAGCCAUGGCUUCAUAGUCUAUCAGAAAUGACCUUACAGAGAGGGAAUCCGACCUUAUUUUACUUUCUUUCUCCAAAAUCCUGCUCUUCUGAAGCUCCCUGCUGGCCAAACCCAACAAGAAGCCAGAGGGCAUGGGAGCAGGUGAUACGAUCUGUACAGAGUGGCCUCCCAGGGUAGAGUGAGACAAACGGAAAAGUGUGAAAAUGGCUGUGGAGCGCAAGUGGAAGACAUCCAGCACUAACCAACUCACAGCCUUGCUGAGCUGAUUAAAUAAUGUAAUGACGUUAAAGGCUUAGCACAUUUCCUGUCACCAGGUAUUUCAUGAAAGUUAGCUAUGACCAUUAGCAUUGCUGUUUGCUGGAUCUAAGUGAGUUGCCAAUGUUUUAGGGUUAAGGACAUGAAGCAGGACCUAACUGGAACAACCGAGGGCCAUACAUGUGGCCCCCACACAAGCCCAGGUAAUGACAAGUUUGUGCUGCUUUUGGUACCAAAAGAAAAUUAGGUUUGUGGCCGGGUGUGGUGGCUCAUGCCUGUAAUCCCAGGCACUCUGGGAGGCUGAGGUGGGUGGAUUGUUUGAGCUCAGCAGUUUGAGACCAGUCUGGCAACAUGGCAAAACCCUGUCUCUAAAAAAAAAAAAAAAGAAAAAAACUUAGCUGGACGUGGUGGCGCACAUCUGAAGUCCCAUCUACUCAGGGGCUGAGGCUGGAGGAUCACUUGAGCCUCAGGAGGUCGAGGCUGCAGUGAGCUGUGAUUGGGCCACUGCAGUCCAGCCUGGGCAACAGAGUGAGACCCUGUCCCAAAAAAUAAGGAAAGAAAGAAAAUUAGGUUUGUUUCUCCUCUCCUGAAAAAUGCUCAAAUAUUUCUUCCACUCCUUCCCACGUCUUUCACCUGUACUGUUUCUUCUUGCCUGUUCUGUUAGCUUAUGAACAUGCUGUCAUGAAGAAAAUGUCUUUGUAGCUACUACUCACCAAUGUAAGGGUUCUCAAAAGAGUAAGUGCUCUUCAGGUUAUUGGAGGGACAGGAAAGGGAGCCUCAAAGUGCCAAGAUGCGGGUAUGUGUGGGAUGUAGACAUGAGCCAUCAGCACCAUGGGCGCUGAUAUUUUAGAAACAGAUCCACUCUUGACCUUGGUAUUAACAGACUUUCCAAUGGCUAUCUUUCUGCCCUUUACUUUCUGUAUGACCAUGAACAAGUCAUAUUACCUGGAUUUCUGUAAAUUCUCAGCCUCACUCCACAAGACUAUUCCACAGAUUAAAAAUGACAUGAAACACGUGAGUCUUUUUACAUGAAGAAGAUAGUAGCCUGCCUUCCUGCUGCCUGUAUCUGUUGUCUGGGCUGGGAGGCUGUCUGGACUGCCACUGGGGGAAAACAAGAGGUCAGGAGAGAAGAAUGGGAGGAAGAGAGAUGUUUCAGAUAGAUAAUCCCAUGGUCCUCAAGGCAAGGGUCGGAAGAAACUGGCUGGAGAAGAGAGGGCGGGGAACAUCCUGAGUUGAAAGCCUUCAGUGGGAGGCAGCAUGAGAAAGGAGACAAGCAUAGCCUUUGGUGCCAUUAGUCCAGAUGGGGUUGCCACCCAGUCCCACCUCUUAUUGAUAUGAACUUGGAUGAGCUGGGUCAUCUCUUUGAUCUUCAGUUUCCUUGUUUGUUAAGAUAAGAAAAAAAAAACGACAUAUGCAAAAGGCUAGUGGAUGUUCAAUAAAUGGCUCUUCCUCUUGAAAUCCCUUUUAUUUUAUUUUACUUUCUUUUAAAAGCAUCCAUUAAUGCACCCAUAACAGGGAGCCACAGAUUCUCUGAUUAAUUAAAUCAACACCAACAGAAAAUAGAAGUAGGUCCCAAUUCUUCCACACUCAAGUGCUAUGGUGAAGCACAUCUCUGAAAUGUCCUCUGGGUUCCCCGCUCCAGACAUGGUACCUGCUGAUCCUCUCUCUGUAAAGCUGCCUUCUCACCUGUCUGUCCAUUGCCAUCAGAUCUUCCCUCUCAUUUCUCCUUUGUCUGUCCUUCUGUAGAGCUGUGUUCAUAUCUCAGUUAAAGAGCUCAUCACACUGUGAUGUUGUGAUCUGCCCACAGGUUCCCAGUUAUGCUGAGCACUCUGUGCAGGCAGCAUCUGAGCAAACACAUGUAUAGACCUUCCAGAUCCCAGACACUGUGUCACCAUGCUUCCUCUACGUGCCAUCUCAUUGAAUCCUCACAUGUGUACUGUUAACUUCACUUUAAGAAUAUGGAAACUGAGGCAUCGAAAGUUUUAGCUUUUAGGCUGGGCAACAUGGUGAAAUCUCAUCUUUACAAAAAAUAGAAAAAUUAGCUGGACAUGGUGGCGCAUGCCUAUAGUUCCAGCUACUUGUGAGGCUGAGGUCAGAGAAUCACUUGAGCCUGGGAGGCAGAGGUUGCCGUGAGCCGAGAUUGCACCACUGCACUUCAGGCUGGGCAACAGAGCAAGACCUUGUCUCAGAAAGAAGAAGAAAAUGUUUAAGCUUUUUACCUAAGGUCUCAAAGGUGCAGUGCAUGUAGCAGAGCCAGGAUUCGUACUUGGUCUGCCUCAAGAGUCUGCAUUUGUUUUCCCUUCACAAUAGUCCUGUUGGUAUUAGCUCCAAGUGCAGUACCUGCCUCAUAGUAUGUCUUCAAGAAAUGCUUAUUGGAUUAGCUGAAAUAAACACCCAAAGCUGUACUUAGAAACUUUUAGCUUUAUGAACUAUAUAUUCUCAUUUGAAGAAAAUGACACUUUAACAAAUUCGAUGAGGUAUAAAAGAAAGCCAGGCUUAACACUUAGUCAUCGUGCUGUUAUAUAUAAGACAAUUUAUGUAGGAUCCUUUUUACAUACAGAAAAUUACUUAACCACAGAUAGCACACACACUCACAUGCACACCACAUCACACGCUUGCUGAUGUUCCUUUUCCUAGGAAGAGAGGUAGAAAUAAACUGGGAUCAUUGGGGAGUAAGAUGCCAGCACAUCUCCUUGCUGAUGUAGGGAAAUUCCAGUAACUCACAUUUAGAAUGUUGCCUUGGGUGGGAAGCAGCUGAGGGCUGCACAGAGGAGUGAGAUAAAUGUUACCAGCAUUGGACUUGACUGCAGUUUAACCCAAGGUCACUGGGAGGCCAGAGCAGAAUCAGGGAAGGAAUGUUGGCUCCUGGAGCCAGCUGAGCCUCUGGCUAGCUCCUGUCUUGGCCUUCCCAUGCAGCCGGGUUGUGAGCUGUGACGGUCCUUAGCAACCCUGCCCUAUUCCUCCUCACAGGAAAGGAACGAUCUUGCUGCCAGGCAGGCAGGCAAGCAACCCCAGUGUGACCCUCAUUCCUCCUUGCCUACACAACCCACCUCCCCACUCAUACAAAAGAAGCUUUCAGAACCUGGUUACCUAGAGUUGAACUUUUCAACAAGGCUUUUUGUAUUUUUUUUCCUUUAAGCUCCGCAGCUAAAAUACCAGAUCUCGCUGUUGCUAAGAUUAAGGAUUUUCCCCUCUGUUUUCUCCCUCAGCUCAGUUUCCGUUGACUAGGAAAGACCAAGAGAUGGAUUACCGUUCCCUUGCCAAAUGGAGAGAGGGUACUUGAGCAUCCGGGGCUUUCAGUGGGAUUAGACAUUAUUCAGUCUGGUGCUAAUAGUCCUUAUUUACUCCUCAGCCUCUCACAAAAGUCGCCGCGUUUGUUUCAGUAACUAAGGCCUACAGAAACCACUCAGCCCUAAGUGCACACAGGAGGACCAUGGAGUUGGAGGAAAAGGAAAGACCUGGAACCAACUCAAAUGCCCAUCGAUGGUAGACUGGACAGAGAAAAUGUGGGACAUAUACACCAUGGAAUACUAUGCAGCCAUAAAAAAUGAUGAGUUCAUGUCCUUUAUAUAGACAUGGAUGUACCUGGAAACCAUCAUUCUCAGCAAACUGACAUGAGAACAGAAAAUCAAACCCUGCAUGUUCUUACUCAUAGGUGGAGUCUUGCUCUGUCACCAGCCUGGAGUGCAGUGCCUCAAUCUCAGCUGACUGCAACCUUUGCUUCCUGGGUUCAAGCCAUUUUCCUGCUUCAGCCUCCUGGGUAGCUGGGAUUAUAGCCACCCACCACCACACUAGCCUAAUUUUUGUAUUUUCAGUAGAGAUGGUGUUUCACCAUGUUGCCCAGGAUGGUCUUCAUCUCCUGACCUCGUGAUCUGCCCAUCUUGGCCUCCCAAAGUGCUGGGAUUACAGGUGUGAGCCACCGUACCCAGCCUAUGAUGAUGAACUUUUUGAGCUCUGAGACUGAAUACAGGCCCUGUCACUUAUUAGCUGCAUGUCUUUGGAGGAUGUAUCUCAGUUUUCUAAUCUGUAAAAUGGAAAUUAUAACAUUUUGGGAAUUGAGGAAGAAUAAAUGUAAUAGUGCAUAUACAAUGCUUAGCAUAAUCAUUGUUACAGUGCUAAGCACUGUGUAUGGACUGUUACAUUAACUCUUCCUCAAUUCCCAUAUGAUGUAUGCAUUCAGUAAGCAUAAGCUAUCAUAUUCAGCUGAAAUCACUAUUGAAUUGUAGCAGGUAACAGUGCCCAUCUUUACAGGCAUAUAUAUGGAAAGCAAGGAAUGGACGAUGGAGUGAGUAAUUUGAGUGACUGAAGAAAUGGAUAAAUGGUGAACAGCUACCCAAGAAACUCAAUUUGCAUUUCUUUUUGUUUUUUAAGAGAGAUGGUCUUGCUGUCACUCAGGCUGGAGUGCAGUGAUGUGAUCAUGGCUCACUGCAGCCUCAACCUCCUGGGUUCAAGUGAUCCUCCCACCUCAGCCUCCCAAGUAGCUGGGACUACAGGAACACAUCUCAUGUCUGACUAAUUUUAAAAGUUUUUGUAGAGUUGGGGGUCUGACUAUGUUGUCUAGGCUGGUCUCUAAUUCCAGGGCUCAAAAAAUCCUCCCAUCUGGGCCUCCCAAAGUGCUGGGAUUGCAAGCAUGCAUUACUGUGCUGAGCCUCAAUUCAUAUUCCUUUAAAAAGUCACAGCUUUUAUAAUUUAAGCCUGUCAGUGCCUGUGGGAUAAAUCGCCAAAGGAGAGCAGGGCUUGCAGAACAUGCUUCUUGCUCUCCAGAGGUCAUGAUAAUAGAAAACUCGUGCUCAGAUGCAUCACCUGGUGACUCUGACGGGGACCACAUCUAGAAAUUUCCAGGCCAGGGAGACACUUAGGAUGGAUUCUUCCUCACUCUUCUCUUCUUUGUUUGCACUCGCUUUAUUCUCUUGCUGAGCUGCUCUCUGGCUAACUGGAAACUCACACUUUCCUUCUCUCCCGUGCUGCCACAGACACACUUGCCCUUGGCUGCACGAAAAGGAUAUGCUUGCUGAGCAGCAGGUAUAAAUUAACUACAUGAAAUAUAAUUAUUUCAUCCUGGCCGUGAUAGGAGGAGGGAGGAAUAGAAGGAAGGUUUGCUCUGCUGAGUUUAGACUCUGAGAACGUGAUCCAGAUAAGAACCACUGAAGUGACGCCUGUUUAAUAAAUAUUAAGAACUGGUAGGCCCUGGAGUCUGGGGAUUUCAGGACAUACAGCACAGUUCUGGAGCUUUGCAAAGUUUUCUUUUAAUGAAGCACGAAUUUCCCUCACUUAGAGGCUCUGGAUGCAUCUGUGGAAUGGAGGAAAUGUACAAAGCCUAGGGUCAGAAAGCCUGUGGUAGAAUCCUAGCUCCAAGUCCCAUCUUCCAGGUACAGCUGGGCAAGUCACCACUCCUCAUAAUACACUGAUAUGAUGACAUGCAGCAGACAGGGUUCCAUGAGAAAAUAAAGGUAAACAUCUAAAGAAUUCAAAAGUUGUCUCUCAGUGGAUCCUUUCCUCUCUUUGAGACUCAGCUUCCUCAAUGAUCAAAUAUUGGGGCUGUUCUGAAUGAAACUGUGCUCCAAGCAGGUGGCCAUUUCCAGAUACAGCAGGGAGAACUCAGGGCUGUUGAGGGGACCAGACUCUCCUCCUCCCAACAUUUACAAUGGAAGAAGCUGAGUCAGAUUUGAAUCAAUUCUGCAUAAUAGUCUUCCUGGUGAGAUGUAUUUUUCAGAUUUUGAUCUAAAGAAAUUAGAUCACUCCACUGGCUGAUGGCUUCAUUCCCAUUGAUUAUUAGCAUAUUCUACUACAGUUUCCAGGAUUCUUGUGAUUUAAUCAGGGAAGUAAACGAGAAGUUGGAUAGAAGACCAAGGCAGCCACACGGUAGCAUCAAGGCCGUGGAAGUUGAAACCAGAAGAUUUGAGUUUGAGGUUCGACCUUGCUACUGACCAGCCACAUUGCUCUUACUGGUUUCUUAACCUUUCGCUUUCAGUUUCUCCAGUGUCUAAUAUAAUCCCAGCUUCCCAUGAGUGCUCUGGGGAUCCUGAGAUGGAGGUUGAUAAAAAUGCCCAGCACAGUGCCUUGCACCUGGCUCACAGAGGAAGCAGGUGGGAUUUGCUGGGAUACCACACCUCUUGCUAGCUGUGUUAUUAAAUACCAAUUCCUGCUGGUCUGGAUAGUACAAUCUCAUAUUCAAAAGCAUUCAGAGAGAUGCUUGCAUGCGGGACAAAUGCAUAUAUCCCUGCUGUUGCUAUGCUGACUUAAUGCAAUACAUUAAAGUCUACUCCAACAGCAGUGCCUAUAAAAAAAGAGGAACAGGUUACCUCCUCUGGGCAUCAGAGAGAGGGAACUAAUGGCUUAUUUUUUCACCUGCUAUUCAGCUGGUUUUUGCAUUUGGUAUUUAGCCUCAGCUCUCUACAUGAUAUUUAUUACUGCAAUUAAGUUGGGGGCAGAAACAUUUAGAAUGGCUCUGGCUAAGAAGUCGCCUGAGCAUUGUCGUUUUUAUGUUGCAGGAACUGAGCACAAAUGUUGUGUCUUCCUGCUAAUCUUGGGUAGGGUAAGAUCUACCAUUUAGUUGGUAGGAAGAAGGCAAGUCUCUGUGAUGCUAACAUGAAUAUCUCCAAAAUAAGAUUUGAAGUCCUCACAAUGUCUUUUUUCUACUCAUUGUCCACUGAACACAAGAGUGAAAGAACUCUUCAUGAUAGUGUGAGCUAAUUGAUCUUUACUGAAGGCUUUCUAUGUGUUGGACACUCACUGUGUCUUCUUAAUCCACUUGCCAUUCCCAUGUGAUAGGAAACUGCAUUAUUCCUGCUUUAGGUGAGUCAGAGGCAUGCCAAAUGGUCUAAGAUUUUUGUUUAUGGCUUAAGGGGUUCGGUGAAGACUUUGGGUGUACUGACAAAGAGCUGAAUUUUGUAAGGUAAUGAAGAGUUGCUAUGUUGAGGAGAGUGAAGUAUCUUCAAGUGAAGUAGUUGCCCAUACUCUGUAGCCUUAACGAGCCAUACAGAUAAAAGGUAUCACCAAAUAAUGUAGUGUUUCAGGGAGAAAACAACAUGUUCUAUUAAAAGUCCUCAAGAUUCAGGAAUUGCUGGUGUCUUGUUCUAGCUCUAGACACAACCUGUUCAUUUGUUUUCAAUCCCAUCGCCUUCAUCUGCCCCAUAAAGAGAACACACCUGGCUCUCCUUCCUGUCAAGGUACGAUGUGCUGUGUGCAGCUGCUUACAUGACAUGAAAUAAAAAGUGUUAUGAAAAGCAGAAAGUGCCUGGGUGCAGUGGCUCAUGCCUGCAAUCCAAACACUUUGGGAGAUGGGGGCAGGAGGAAUGCUUGAGCCCAGGAGUUCGAGACCAGCCUGGGCAUUACACAGGGAGACUCCCAUCUCUACAAAAAAUAUUCAAAAAGUAGUCAGGUGUAGUGUCUUGUGCAGGUAGUUCUAGCCACUUGGGAAGCUGAACUAUGCAGAUCACUUAUGCCUGGGAGGUUGAGGGUGCAGUGAGCUGUGAUCAGUGAGUGAGCAGUGAGCCACAGAAUGAGGCCCUGUCUCAAAGAAAAAAAAAAGAGGACACAUUCAUCAGAUGCAGCCAAUAUUUCCUCAGUAGUUCUGGCUGUUCGCUGGCAUUAUAAACUUGGAUCCAUGAUUUCACCAUUCACAGAUCUGUAAACCAGGAGCCUCUUUGGUCUACAGAGUUCUACAAUCUUUAUGGCUUAGACAGUUGGGUGGAAGUUAUUUGCAGAAGCUAUUCAAAUACAUGUUAUGGGCAUUAUAAACCUGGAUGCAUGAUUUCACUAUUCACAGACCUGUGAAACAAGAGCCUCUUUGGUCUCCAGAGUUCUACAGUCUUUAUGGCUUAGACAGCUGGAUGGAAGCUAUUCACAGAAUAGUUCUGUCCAUUUGGUUCACAGGUUUUUGGUUAUAGCCUGCCAAAUUUCCCAGGAUUGCACUAAGUAUGUGCAUGGAUGAGGAGGUGUGUGGGAAGACGGAAAAAAUAGGGUAGCCUUUAAAAGAAAAAGGCAGUUGCUUCCCUGACACCACUGGCUCCUGGUUUCCCUCCUACUUUCCUCACCAUUCUUUCUCAGUCUCUCGCGCCUCUCUUCCUGCCCACACUUAAGACGUUGCAGCUCUAGGAAGACUUCAUUCUUAGAGCUUUUCUGUUCUUACUCUAAACUAUGGUAAUUCUUAUUUUGCAAGAGUAAAUCUCCACGGAGUACAAGAGAACAUUCCUUUUCCUCCAAUUGCCUUUCAUAUCUACUCUGUGAAGCUCAUUUUCCCCUGACCCUUGAAUGAAGUCCAAGGCCAUUCUCAAUUCCGAUCACUCUCUAGUAGUCAGUUGUCCUCUGGUCAUUUUUAGUCAUGAAAGUCUCAUGGGAAUAAUUAACAUGACCAGUAGUAAAAAUCAGAAUUACACAGACAAUUUGAAGUUAAAACUUUUGUAACAUUGGACUCUUUUGAACUUUGAUAGGGAUAGCCCCACAUUCAAGAGGCCAGAGGAGAGACCCAGAGCCAGCGACUGAGACAUGGGGUUGAAUGAGGGAAGCUACAUGCAAGUCAGACUAGUGGCGACUGGCUGGACAGGAGAACUCCAACCGCCUGUAAAAACCAUGCAAUUUACAUAACAUUUUCACUUAGCACCCUCCCCCUACCAACCUCCACAUUGCAAUCUUUAUUUCACCCAAAAUAAAGGGCCUCCAUCUGCUGUAUGGCCUGCAUUCCAUGGAGUGGGGCAGCAGUUCAGGAGUUCCUCAUACAUAGGGAAUGAAUCUCCAAGUUGGCCACUCCUAGAUUUCUUAGCUUGAAACUCUUGAACACACAUUAUUCUUAGACCACAGAGUCAUUCUCGGAGUAUGCUUAAGUUAUGUUAUUGCUGUUAGAUGCAUCUGCCAUACGCAGUCAGUUCUUAUGGAUGCUUCCAGUUAAACUAUUACUGUCAGGUGCAUCUGCAUUACACUUCUCCCUUCCCUUCAACGAGUUCCUCCUUCAGGGUGGAAGUCAACAUUAAGAAACAGUAAUCCUUGCUCUUCUCUCGUCAAAACCCACUCACUCCAAGCUUUGUGAUCAAGCUUUUCUCUCUCUGUCUCUCUCUUUCUUCAUCAGAGCUGUGAGAUAAGAGAUCAAAGAGAGAGGAAAAGUCUUACCUGUAUGGGAGGGACGGAUGCACACCUGGGGAUUGACAUUCUCUUCAUUUAAUCUAUGCUCGAUGUUGAUUUUCUGGUAUGGUGUGCCCAGGGUUCCUUGGAGGUUCUAUCCCUGGGAUUGUGCUGCCGCACUUCCAGCAGUAGCUUAGACAACAAAAGCUGGUACCUCUGGAGGACCAUGCACAGUUUCUAUCUGAGCUGUUAUGCUGGUUCCUCUUUCUGAUUGAUAUCGCAUCAUCCCUUUGGGUGGUCUUCUUAGGGAAGGUUCAAGACAGUUGUAGGGUGUGAUGUCCCUCUCCCAUGUAGCCCUCUUUUGAUCACUCAGGCAUUCUCCUUCUUACUCUUGAUGAAGUGUAGCUAACUCCCUAUCCAUAAUCUCUCUCUGCCCUGGUGCCUCAGACUGAUAAUGUAGAACCUGACCUAUGCAUUUCUGUGAUCUGUGUCAGACAUGAGUCCAAGGUGUCCAAAGUGCACCUAUUAAACUCUCCAGAUAAUUUAUUUGAAGCUUUUUUUACUCUUGAACUAGGAAGGGGUUUUCCCUUCUUUGUUUCCCUUUACUGGGAGGCACACACACACACAUGCCAGAACACUCUCCUAAGUAAGCCAGAACAACUUUCUCCCGAGGAAAUUCUCUCUGAGAUUUUCAACUUCAAUAUUCUUAUGCCAGAAAAGGGUAUUAGGUUAGAGAUUGAAAGCCAUCUUCUGAAAUUUUCUUUGCAAUUUCUGCCUAGGUGAUCUGUCACCUUGCUUUGCAAUGUGAAGUUAGUUGGCACCUUGUUUCUCAGGGUCUCAACUGAAAUGAGACAGAAUGAGUCCUAUUUUAAAACUGUACCAUAGUCUUGCUCCAUAAGCUUGUCCACUUCAAUGGCUUUUGGUGGCUAGGGUCAUGAAUACCCUAAAAUAUGUAAAAUCAACACUUCUUUAGAAGAAAAUUCAAGGACAGUUUAACCCAGGUCAAGGUACACCAAAGAUCUCAGAUGGGAAUAACUUUUGGAAAGAGUUAGCUGUUCAACAAGCUGCCCCAGAGGUACCCUGGCUGCUUUAGUGCUGGGGCACAGAAACCACUCAUACACUGAAUCCUCUUCAAGGACUGUCUUUUUUUUCUUGCAAUCCUAGUUUGUUAGGGCAUGGAACCAUUUUUGCAGACCAAUAAGGUCCAGUAUAGUAGCAGAGUUCUGCCUCUAUGAAUUGGCUAUGGUCAAGGACAAGAUUAAAUGAACACUAGAAUAUUAAGGAUUUACUCUGAUUUUAAUUGUGAUUUAAAAUUACAUGCAGUAUAUUCUUCCCUCUGUACCCCAUUAUUACCCUAACCAACAAAACAUUAACCAUACCUCUCUUUUAUGAACUCAGAUUCACAUAUUUUACUCCAUGAUGAAUAAUUUCAUCUAGAUAUUCCAAAGUAACUCAAACUAAAACAUAAUGAAAUGGAAAUUAUGAUUUUACUUUUUCCUAAAAUGUUUAUUAUAACCACGUCUUAUUUUUAAAAAUAGACCUCAUUUCCCACACGCCCAAAUCCUAAAUCCUAACUUUAAGAUUUUCAUGCUGCACAAUUCCAAUCAACCCGGCCUUCUAAUAUAUCGGGAGUCUGUCCCCUUUGGAUCCUCAUAACAGCUCAUUUUACACUCUCAUCAUUCCCCUUGGAAAAUGCAUCAGCAUCUUAACUGGCUUCACUGCAUUUAUUCUCACCCACCAUAACUCAUUUUUCUCGGAGCCAACACUUUAACCAUUUUAAAUCAUGUCUCCUUUACUUAAGAUUUUCAAAGCUAUUCAUUGCCUAGAUGAAUGGUCUAGAUAUAAAAGCUUUAUUUUUUUUUUAAUCCAAGGAUAGUUAAACCCAUGUGAAGGUACUCCAAAGAUCUCAGAUGGGAGUAGCUUUUGGAAAGAAGUAGCUGUUCAGCAAGCUGCCCCUGAGGUACCCUGGCUGCUUUAGUGCUGGGGCACAAAACUCACUCGUACACUGAAUCUUCUUCCUAGAGGCAGGGACGGUCUUUUUUUCUUAAAGUGAUGGUCUCUAAGAUAGAGAGUGGGCAUCCCAGGCAUGCAAAAGAUGAUUCUUAUGCAAUGUGAAAAGAAAACACUAUAGCUUUUAUUUGUAUAUUGUUUUUAUCCUUUAUGAAAAAAAUUAAUUAAGCUUUAUUUAUUCUAUGGCUUGACUUUGGGGAAGUCCUCACCUAGAAGAUGGGUUGAUCCCCAUGUCAGAAACAAAAAAUGGAAAUUCCACAAUAUGGUGGUCUUGACAGUGGUGACCUACUCCUUCCCUGAUUUUCAGCAUGCUACAGCUCAUUGUAGUUUAUGUGUUAAGUUAUGUAGUUCAUAUCCUCUUGUUAGAAAGACUUACAGAUUUUAUGAGUUGUUUUAAAUGAUGUAAGGCCAGGUGCAGUGGCUCAUGCCUGUAAUUCUAGCACUUUGGGAGGCUGAGGUGGGCAGAUCACCUGAGGUAAGGAGGUUGAGAUUGGCCUGGCCAACAUGGUGAAACCCUGUCUCUACUAAAAAUACAAAAUUUGGCUGGGCAUGGUGGCGUGCACCUGUAAUCCCAGCUACUCAAGAGUCUGAGGCAGGAGAAUUGCUUGAUUUGAACCCAGAGGUGGAAAUUGCAGUGAGCCAAGAUUGCACCACUGCACUCCAGUCUGGGCGGC